rnacentral:rRNA from 1 species
UACAGAGGGGGCAAGCGUUGGUCGGAAUUACUGGGCGUAAAGGGCGCGUAGGCGGCCUGUUAAGUCAGACGUGAAAUCCCUCGGCUCAACCGGGGAACUGCGUCUGAUACUGGCGGGCUUGAAUUCGGGAGAGGGAUGUGGAAUUCCAGGUGUAGCGGUGAAAUGCGUAGAUAUCUGGAGGAACACCGGUGGCGAAGGCGGCAUCCUGGACCGACAUUGACGCUGAGGCGCGAAAGCCAGGGGUGCAAACGGG